AAAAAGUAAACCAUAGAUUUUCGUGUCAAAGUUUGACCGUCCGUCUUAUUUAAAAAAAUUAUAAAAAAAUAAAAAAAUAAGUCACGUAUAAAGUAUUAAUCAUAUUUUAUCAUCUAACAAUAAUGAAAAUACUAAUUAUAAAAAAAAUUCAUAUAAGACGGAUAGUCAAACAUUGGAUACGGAAACCAGGGUUUAUCUUUUU
rfam:Oryza sativa (indica cultivar-group) chromosome 7, whole genome shotgun sequence.